rnacentral:tRNA from 1 species
GCCUGGGUGGCUCAGUUGGUUAAGCGUCUGACUUCAGCUCAGGUCGUGAUCUCACAGUUCGUGGGUUUGAGCCCCACGUCGGACU